rnacentral:rRNA from 1 species
AACCCUCGACCUUAGUUGCCAGCAUUCAGUUGGGCACUCUAAGGUGACUGCCGGCUAAAAGUCGGAGGAAGGUGGGGAUGACGUCAAAUCAUCAUGCCCCUUAUGACCUGGGCUACACACGUGCUACAAUGGGCGGUACAAAGGGUCGCGAACCCGCGAGGGGGAGCCAAUCCCAAAAAGCCGCUCUCAGUUCGGAUUGCAGGCUGCAACUCGCCUGCAUGAAGCCGGAAUCGCUAGUAAUCGCGGAUCAGCAUGCCCGCGGUCCGAAUCGUUCCGGCCUU